CUAAACAUCUAGCCUACCUACCUCCACCCACUUAUAAUUUUAAUAAAACAUUUUUACCUUCUAGUAUGGGGGACUGAAAGAUUUAUAAGCGCCUUAGACCUAGUACCGAAAGGGAACGAUGAAAUAAUAAUGAAAUAGCUAAAGCCACUACACAGCAAAGCUCACCCCUUGUACCUUUUGCAUCAUGGUCAAGCCAGUUCAACUGAGCAAAGAGCAAUUUUUAGUUUAACCCCCCGAAACUGGGUGAGCUACUUUAGAACAGUUUUUAGAACAAACCCAUCCCUGUUGCAAAAGAGUGGGAAGAUUUUUUAGUAGCAGUGAAAAGCUUAUCGGACCCAGAGAUAGCUGGUUGUCUAAGAAAAGAAUCUGAGUUCGGCCUUAAAGUUUAGUAUAACAGCAAAUAAACCCCAAACCUUAAGACCUAUUCAAAUAGGGUACAGCCUAUUUGACCCAGGACACAGCCUCCAACACAGGGUAACAUCCACUACAUCAAAAAGUAGGCUUGAAAGCAGCCAAAAACGCGUUAAAGCCUCCCACUAUUAACCCCACCCCAAUACCAUAUUACCCAACUAACCCUUAAUCACUAUUAGACGACUCCAUUAACCUUAUGGAAGACACUAUGCUUGAACUAGUAACAAGAGUAUGUAACUCUCCUAAAUACAAGUAUAAGCCGCAAUAGACAAACCAACGGCAAUUAACACUAAUAAACCCCCUACAGCAACCCCAAGAAAACCCUGUAGACUCAAACGUUAAUCUCACACAAGAGUAUUUCAGGAAAGAUUAAAAGGCGGAGAAGGAACUCGGCAAAUAAUAACCCCGCCUGUUUACCAAAAACAUCGCCUCUUGUCUGAAUAUAAGAGGUCCAGCCUGCCCAGUGACUUUUCAACGGCCACGGUACCCUAACCGUGCUAAGGUAGCGCAAUUACUUGUCCUUUAAAUGAGGACCCGAAUGAAUGGCAUCACGAGGGUUAUACUGUCUCCUCCACCCAAUCAGUGAAACUGACCUCCCUGUGAAAAGGCAGGAAUAAGAAUAUUAGACGAGAAGACCCCAUGGAGCUUUAGACUAUGAACAAGUUGGACACAAGUCCUAAACCCAUGUCUCGAUAGUCUUCGGCUGGGGCGACCAUGGAGUAAAAACCAACCUCCAUGCCGAAUGGAUAUAUUCCUUAUCUAUGAGUAACAUCUCUAAGAAACAGAACACUGACGCCCACUGAUCCGGACCCCGAUCAACGAACCAAGUUACCCUGGGGAUAACAGCGCUAUCUGCCUCGAGAGUUCAUAUCGACAGGCGGGUUUACGACCUCGAUGUUGGAUCAGGAUACCCUAGUGGUGCAGCCGCUACACAAGGUUCGUUUGUUCA
rnacentral:rRNA from 1 species